rnacentral:rRNA from 1 species
AGCGAACGCUGGCGGCAGGCCUAACACAUGCAAGUCGAACGAAGUCUUCGGACUUAGUGGCGGACGGGUGAGUAACACGUGGGAACGUACCUUUUGGUUCGGAACAACUCAGGGAAACUUGAGCUAAUACCGGCUGAGCCCAUAGGGGGAAAGAUUUAUCGCCGAAAGAGCGGCCCGCGUUAGAUUAGCUAGUUGGUGAGGUAAAGGCUCACCAAGGCUACGAUCUAUAGCUGGUCUGAGAGGAUGAUCAGCCACACUGGGACUGAGACACGGCCCAGACUCCUACGGGAGGCAGCAGUGGGGAAUCUUGCGCAAUGGGCGAAAGCCUGACGCAGCCAUGCCGCGUGAAUGAUGAAGGUCUUAGGAUUGUAAAAUUCUUUUACCAGGGACGAUAAUGACGGUACCUGGAGAAAAAGCCCCGGCUAACUUCGUGCCAGCAGCCGCGGUAACAC